rnacentral:rRNA from 1 species
ACGCAUGGCGAAGUCUGACGGAGCACGCCGCGUGAGUGAUGAAGGCUUUCGGGUCGUAAAACUCUGUUGUUAGGGAAGAACAAGUGCUAGUUGAAUAAGCUGGCACCUUGACGGUACCUAACCAGAAAGCCACGGCUAACUACGUGCCAGCAGCCGCGGUAAUACGUAGGUGGCAAGCGUUAUCCGGAAUUAUUGGGCGUAAAGCGCGCGCAGGUGGUUUCUUAAGUCUGAUGUGAAAGCCCACGGCUCAACCGUGGAGGGUCAUUGGAAACUGGGAGACUUGAGUGCAGAAGAGGAAAGUGGAAUUCCAUGUGUAGCGGUGAAAUGCGUAGAGAUAUGGAGGAACACCAGUGGCGAAGGCGACUUUCUGGUCUGUAACUGACACUGAGGCGCGAAAGCGUGGGGAGCAAACAGGAUUAGAUACCCUGGUAGUCCACGCCGUAAACGAUGAGUGCUAAGUGUUAGAGGGUUUCCGCCCUUUAGUGCUGAAGUUAACGCAUUAAGCACUCCGCCUGGGGAGUACGGCCGCAAGGCUGAAACUCAAAGGAAUUGACGGGGGCCCGCACAAGCGGUGGAGCAUGUGGUUUAAUCCGAAGCAGCGCGAAGAACCUUACCAGGUCUUGACAUCCUCUGAGGACCCUAGAGAUAGGGCUUCUCCUUCGGGAGCAGAGUGACAGGUGGUGCAUGGUUGUCG